rnacentral:lncRNA from 1 species
AUGCCGGGGUCACACUUUAAUCCCCUCCCCCAAAUAACAGCCGGGGGUCUCAGGACCCCCCCAGUCUCUCCCCAAAUUUGGUUUCACACAGAAAUUUUCCUUUAUUGCUGCAUCCACCGGGAUUUGGGGGGGCCCUGGGGGAGUUUUGGGGGUCCCGGGGUUUGUCCCGGGGAGGUUUUGGGGGUCCCGGGGAGGUUUUGGGGGUCCCGGGGUUUGUCCCGGGGAGGUUUUGGGGGUCCCGGGGUUUGUCCCGGGGGUUUUGGGGGUCCCGGGGUUUGUCCCGGGGAGGUUUUGGGGGUCCCGGGGAGGUUUUGGGGGUCCCGGGGUUUGUCCCGGGGAGGUUUUGGGGGUCCCGGGGUUUGUCCGGGGGAGGUUUUGGGGGUCCUGGGGAGGUUUUGGGGGUCCCGGGGUUUGUCCCGGUGGGGGUUUGGGGGUCCCGGGGUUUGUCCCGGGGAGGUUUUGGGGGUCCCGGGGUUUGUCCCGGGGGUUUUGGGGGUCCCGGGGUUUGUCCCGGGGAGGUUUUGGGGGUCCCGGGGAGGUUUUGGGGGUCCCGGGGUUUGUCCCGGGGACGUUUUGGGGGUCCCGGGGUUUGUCCGGGGGAGGUUUUGGGGGUCCUGGGGAGGUUUUGGGGGUCCCGGGGUUUGUCCCGGUGGGGUUUUGGGGAUCCCGGGGUUUGUCCCGGUGGGGUUUUGGGGGUCCCGGGGUUUGUCCCGGUGGGGGUUUGGGGGUCCCGGGGUUUGUCCCGGGGAGGUUUUGGGGGUCCCGGGGUUUGUCCCGGGGGUUUUGGGGGUCCCGGGGUUUGUCCCGGGGAGGUUUUGGGGGUCCCGGGGAGGUUUUGGGGGUCCCGGGGUUUGUCCCGGGGACGUUUUGGGGGUCCCGGGGUUUGUCCGGGGGAGGUUUUGGGGGUCCUGGGGAGGUUUUGGGGGUCCCGGGGUUUGUCCCGGUGGGGUUUUGGGGAUCCCGGGGUUUGUCCCGGUGGGGUUUUGGGGGUCCCGGGGUUUGUCCCGGUGGGGUUUUGGGGGUCCCGGGGGUCCCUCAGCAGAUCCCACACGUUUCCCUGCGGCCGCAGCGGCGCCGCCGCAGCUCGAGGCUCCUCCGCAGCUCCUCAUCCUCCUCCUGCGCCCUGCGGGGGUCGGGGGGCGUCGGGCAGGGCCGGACCCCCCAAAAAUCCCUCAGGACCCCCCCCAGGAUCAC